rnacentral:rRNA from 1 species
AACCAGCACCUCAAGUGGUCAGGAGGAUUAUUGGGCCUAAAGCAUCCGUAGCCGGCUCUGUAAGUUUUCGGUUAAAUCUAUAUGCUCAACGUAUAGGCUGCCGAAAAUACUGCACAGCUAGGGAAUGGGAGAGGUAGACGGUACUCGGUAGGAAGGGGUAAAAUCCUUUGAUCUAUCGAUGACCACCAAUGGCGAAGGCAGCUUCCUGGAUCGUAACUGACGCUAAAGUGCGAAAGCGUGGGUAGCAAACAGG